GAUGAACGCUGGCGGCGUGCUUAACACAUGCAAGUCGAACGAACCUUCGGGUUAGUGGCGGACGGGUGAGUAACGCGUGAGAAUCUGCCCUCAGGAGGGGGAUAACGGUUGGAAACGACCGCUAAUACCCCAUAUGCCGAGAGGUGAAAUGAAAUUCGCCUGAGGAUGAGCUCGCGUCUGAUUAGCUAGUUGGUAGGGUAAAGGCCUACCAAGGCAUUGAUCAGUAGCUGGUCUGAGAGGAUGAUCAGCCACACUGGGACUGAGACACGGCCCAGACUCCUACGGGAGGCAGCAGUGGGGAAUUUUCCGCAAUGGGCGCAAGCCUGACGGAGCAACGCCGCGUGAGGGAUGAAGGCCUCUGGGCUGUAAACCUCUUUUAUCAAGGAAGAAGAACUGACGGUACUUGAUGAAUAAGCCACGGCUAAUUCCGUGCCAGCAGCCGCGGUAAUACGGGAGUGGCAAGCGUUAUCCGGAAUUAUUGGGCGUAAAGCGUCCGCAGGCGGCCUUGAAAGUCUGUCGUUAAAGCGUGGAGCUUAACUCCAUUUCGGCGGUGGAAACUACAAGGCUUGAGUGUGGUAGGGGCAGAGGGAAUUCCCGGUGUAGCGGUGAAAUGCGUAGAUAUCGGGAAGAACACCAGUGGCGAAGGCGCUCUGCUGGGCCAUAACUGACGCUCAUGGACGAAAGCCAGGGGAGCGAAAGGGAUUAGAUACCCCUGUAGUCCUGGCCGUAAACGAUGAACACUAGGUGUCGGGGGAAUCGACCCCCUCGGUGUCGUAGCUAACGCGUUAAGUGUUCCGCCUGGGGAGUACGCACGCAAGUGUGAAACUCAAAGGAAUUGACGGGGGCCCGCACAAGCGGUGGAGUAUGUGGUUUAAUUCGAUGCGACGCGAAGAACCUUACCAGGGUUUGACAUCCUGCGAAUCCCUUGGAAACUAGGGAGUGCCUUCGGGAGCGCAGAGACAGGUGGUGCAUGGCUGUCGUCAGCUCGUGUCGUGAGAUGUUGGGUUAAGUCCCGCAACGAGCGCAACCCACGUCUUUAGUUGCCAGCAUUUAGUUGGGCACUCUAGAGAGACCGCCGGUGAUAAACCGGAGGAAGGUGUGGAUGACGUCAAGUCAUCAUGCCCCUUACAUCCUGGGCUACACACGUACUACAAUGCUACGGACAAAGGGUUGCAAACUCGCGAGAGCUAGCUAAUCCCAUAAACCGUGGCUCAGUUCAGAUCGUAGGCUGCAACUCGCCUACGUGAAGGAGGAAUCGCUAGUAAUCGCAGGUCAGCAUACUGCGGUGAAUACGUUCCCGGGCCUUGUACACACCGCCCGUCACACCAUGGAAGUUGGCCACGCCCGAAGUCGUUACUCCAACCCGUAAGGGAGGAGGAUGCCGAAGGUGGGGCUGAUGACUGGGGUG
rnacentral:rRNA from 1 species